ACAGGGGGGGCGAACGUUACUCGGAAUCACUGGGCAUAAAGGGCACGUAGGCGGUCCUGUAAGUCGGAUGUGAAAGACCCUGGCUCAACCAGGGAAGUGCAUCCGAAACUGCAGGGCUUGAGGCCGAGAGGGGUGAGUGGAACUCCUGGUGGAGCGGUGAAAUGCGUAGAUAUCAGGAGGAACACCGGUGGCGAAGGCGACUCACUGGCUCGGUUCUGACGCUGAGGUGCGAAAGCUAGGGUAGCGAACGGG
rnacentral:rRNA from 1 species